rnacentral:rRNA from 1 species
AUUGAACGCUGGCGGCAGGCCUAACACAUGCAAGUCGAGCGCGCGGCGGACGGGUGAGUAAUGUCUGGGAAACUGCCUGAUGGAGGGGGAUAACUCCUGGAAACGGUAGCUAAUACCGCAUACCAUCAGAUGUGCCCCGAUGGGAUUAGCUAGUAGGUGGGGUAACGGCUCACCUAGGCGACGAUCCCUAGCUGGUCUGAGAGGAUGACCAGCCACACUGGGACUGAGACACGGUCCAGACUCCUACGGGAGGCAGCAGUGGGGAAUAUUGGACAAUGGGCGCAAGCCUGAUGCAGCCAUGCCGCGUGAGUGAAGAAGGCCUUCGGGUUGUAAAGCACUUUCGGCGGAGAAGCGUUACCCACAGAAGAAGCACCGGCUAACUCCGUGCCAGCAGCCGCGGUAAUUC